GACGAACGCUGGCGGCGUGCUUAACACAUGCAAGUCGAACGGAAAGGCCCUGCUUUUGUGGGGUGCUCGAGUGGCGAACGGGUGAGUAACACGUGAGUAACCUGCCCUUGACUUUGGGAUAACUUCAGGAAACUGGGGCUAAUACCGGAUAGGAGCUCCUGCUGCAUGGUGGGGGUUGGAAAGUUUCGGCGGUUGGGGAUGAACUCGCGGCUUAUCAGCUUGUUGGUGGGGUAGUGGCUUACCAAGGCUUUGACGAGUAGCCGGCCUGAGAGGGUGACCGGCCACAUUGGGACUGAGAUACGGCCCAGACUCCUACGGGAGGCAGCAGUGGGGAAUAUUGCACAAUGGGCGGAAGCCUGAUGCAGCAACGCCGCGUGCGGGAUGACGGCCUUCGGGUUGUAAACCGCUUUCGCCUGUGACGAAGCGUGAGUGACGGUAAUGGGUAAAGAAGCACCGGCUAACUACGUG
rnacentral:rRNA from 1 species